UGCACGGUGGCGCAGUUGGUUAGCACUGUUGCCUUGCAGCCAAAAGGUCCUGGGUUUGAUUCCCGGCCGGGGGUCUUUCUGCAU